UGCCUCUCUCCCUCUCUCUGCCUUUCUUAUAAAGGCCUUAAAACCAAGGACUGCCUCUUCUCAUCGGACCUGCCAUGCUGGAGCAAUGAAGCAGGUCUCCCUCUAAAGAGCACGUCUAAUCUAAUCAACUGCCAAGCGGCUUCCCUGAGCUCCAGCCACAGCUUCUGCCAACCCAAGCCCCUGACUGAGCAAGUCAAGGACUCUCCUCCCUUGCAGUCAAACUUCUCACACCCUGCCUCGCCCAGCAGCCCUAACCACAAGAAGAUGUGGGACCCUAUUUUUACCCCACAAUCUGUAUUAUCCCAACUCCUAUAGGCUUCCAAUUACAUCUUUGAAGAAAAAGAAAAACCGAUCAUUGGAAUUUGUAUUUAACCACAAAGGAUCCUGAAAGACUCUAUUCUUGAAACAACCAACCAUAAAAAUGAACAGAGUUAAAGAGCUGGAGGCUUCACAUGUCCUGAGUUGAAAACAUCAACGCCUCUCAGGCCUAUGUUAAUUAAAGUACUGACAUAAGAACCGCCACAUAGACCAAAGUAAUAAAACAGAGAGCCUAGGAUGAACCCAGAGAGUCAACUGGACUUUGACAACAAUUUCAAGACACUAUGGCUGGAGAAACAUUGCCUCUUCUACAAAUGGUUUUGGAAAAGGUAACAUAACUGGACCCCUACAUCAAGUACUUCCUAUUUACUCAAAAUGGAUAGAAAAUAUAGCAUGAGUUGACCCUUAGAAUAUGCUGGAAAGCCAUACAGCAUUAUCUUGGUUAUUCUCAGUUAUGACACCAGAGUUACAAGUAAGGAAGCAAGAGUGAACCAGUGGAAAGAUACCAAGCUAAAAGCUUCUCCGGCCCAAGGGACAUAACCAAUAAAGGGCAAUUUA